AGAGUUUGAUCAUGGCUCAGGAUGAACGCUGGCGGCGUGCUUAACACAUUCAAGUCGAACGGGCGAGAGGAAGCAAUCCUUUGCUAGUGGCGGACGGGUGAGUAACGCGUGAGCAAUCUACUUUACGAGUGGGAUAACAAUUGGAAACGAUUGCUAAUACCGCAUAGUGUAUAGAUACCGCAUGAUAUCUAUACCAAAGAAAAAUCGCGUAAAGAUGGGCUCGCGUCCCAUUAGACAGUUGGUGAGGUAACGGCCCACCAAAUCUACGAUGGGUAGCCGGACUGAGAGGUUGAACGGCCACAUUGGAACUGAGAAACGGUCCAGACUCCUACGGGAGGCAGCAGUGGGGAAUAUUGGGCAAUGGGCGAAAGCCUGACCCAGCGACGCCGCGUGAAGGAAGAAGGUCUUCGGAUUGUAAACUUUAGUCAACAGGGAAGAAGAAAGUGACGGUACCUGUAGAGGAAGCCACGGCUAACUACGUGCCAGCCGCAGC
rnacentral:rRNA from 1 species